GGGGACGACAUGGCUUCGACGGCAGUGGCGAAACCCGAGGUGCAUGCCGAGAGUGAGCGCCUCUCGUAAAAUAACGUUCGAACUAAUAGUCGCAAACGACGAAUCUUACGCUCUAGCAGCUUAGGCUGCUGCCUCUGAAGGGGGAUGCCUGUUGCCCUUGGACGAGGAACGAGCCCGUAUAGACAGGCUCGCAUCCUAAAUCGCUUUUGUUUAGUGUGCUAAAUCUUAAGAAAGCUCGCUGUUGGAAAGCCUGCUCGUCGGCGCUUCAACGGCUAAAUUAAAAGACGAAACUAAGCAUGUAGAGCUGAGGGCAGAGUACUGGCGGACGCGGGUUCGAUUCCCGCCGUCUCCACCA
rnacentral:tmRNA from 1 species